GAUCCUGGCUCAGGAUGAACGCUGGCGGCGUGCCUAACACAUGCAAGUCGAACGGAGUUCUUAAGGAAUGCGGCUUCGGCUAAAUGACUUUUGAACUUAGUGGCGGACGGGUGAGUAACGCGUGAGCAACCUGCCUUUCAGAGGGGGAUAACAUUUGGAAACAGAUGCUAAUACCGCAUAAGAUUACAGUACCGCAUGAUACAGUGAUCAAAGGAGCAAUCCGCUGAAAGAUGGGCUCGCGUCCGAUUAGAUAGUUGGUGAGGUAACGGCUCACCAAGUCGACGAUCGGUAGCCGGACUGAGAGGUUGAACGGCCACAUUGGGACUGAGACACGGCCCAGACUCCUACGGGAGGCAGCAGUGGGGAAUAUUGCACAAUGGGCGAAAGCCUGAUGCAGCAACGCCGCGUGAGGGAAGACGGUUUUCGGAUUGUAAACCUCUGUUUUCGGUGACGAACAAAUGACGGUAACCGAGUAGGAAGCCACGGCUAACUACGUG
rnacentral:rRNA from 1 species